GAGGCCUUGGCGCAACGGCAGCGCGUCCGACUCCAGAUCGGAAGGUUACGUGUUCGAAUCCCGUAGGCCUCA